rnacentral:rRNA from 1 species
GCGGAUGGGUGAGUAACGCGUGGACAACCUACCUUGUAAAGGGGAAUAACCUCGAGAAAUCGAAGCUAAUACCCCAUAAUAACCUUGAAUCGCAUGAAUUGAGGAGGAAAGGCGGCCUUAGCGCUGUCGAUAGAAGAUGGGUCCGCGUCUGAUUAGCUAGUUGGUGAGGUAAAGGCUCACCAAGGCGACGAUCAGUAGCCGGCCUGAGAGGGUGAACGGCCACAUUGGGACUGAGACACGGCCCAAACUCC